rnacentral:rRNA from 1 species
UCCUACGGGAGGCAGCAGUGGGGAAUAUUGCACAAUGGGGGAAACCCUGAUGCAGCGACGCCGCGUGAGCGAAGAAGUAUUUCGGUAUGUAAAGCUCUAUCAGCAGGGAAGAUAAUGACGGUACCUGACUAAGAAGCCCCGGCUAACUACGUGCCAGCAGCCGCGGUAAUA